rfam:Hordeum vulgare subsp. vulgare, WGS project CAJW01000000 data, contig: morex_contig_64060
ACAAUACUCCCUCCGUCUGAAAUUAUUUGUCGUAUAAAUAAAUAAAAAUAAAUGUAUCUCGAAUUAAAAUAUAUUUGGAUACAUUUAUUUUUAUGAUAAGUAUUUUCAGACGAAGGGAGUAUAUU